AAGCCCAUUCAGUGGCGCAUGGUUACGGUUGCCUAAGCCUUAUUUACAGGAAAUAUAAACUUCAAGAGGAAGCCACAGUGAUGCUCUGGAAGAGUAACUUCAGUGAAAUAAUCAUGCCACAGUUUAGGCAUACAUUUUCAGUGUCCAAGGGGAUGGACUACCUUCAUAAGAGCCCCUCAAAAUCACAUGGUUACCCCUCGUCUUCAAACUUUGUUGUGGACAGCAGAUUCAUUUUAAAAAUGACAGAUUUUGGAGUCAGUAUCCUGAGGCGACCCUCGACGGAUUACAGUUUGAAUCUCUGUGAACACUGGCAGCAUGAGUAAAGUAAUAUAUUUUUUGUAAGCUUCUGUCAAUAGAAAAGUGAAGUGGCCAUAGUCUGAAUGGUUCACAGACUGUACCCAUACGACUGCAUCUGCCUUUAUCAAGCCAGCCUGGUAUCCAGUGUUACCAUGGACCAAGGGGACAUUCUGUUCAUAUGCUUUAAUGAUGUUUGUUUUCCAUCACAGGGUUACUGUGGAGGGCACCUGAACUCUUAAGUCAUGCUAGUCCUCCCAAUGGGACACAAAUAUUUACAGUUUGGGCAUUAUAAUGCAUGACAUUGUAUAUUGUAUUUUACAUCCCCUACUGUACUCUGGAAGCAAAGGGUAAUAAAUGUAUUACCUAUGUUAAUCACAUUCAUUUAUUCUUUGUGUAAUUUCACCCAAUACAACGCUACUGGGAGGUGUGCUAUUCAACCAAUGUGCGUCUUUUGAAAAAAUCUGAAUUAAAUGCAUGCAGAGGAAUUAUUAUUAGGGGCUGUUCUUGAUAACUGCUCCCACCCUCAGUAUCCACUGAAAUGUUAUAGUUUCCUCGUUACUGAGAUUUUGGUUUACGGUGCGUGUUGAUUGAUGCAUUUCAUGUCGCUUCCAAAAAACUAUUACAAAUGUAUAAGGCUGUAUAUAUUUUUUCAUUUUCAUGAUUUCCGUGAUAUUUACCCAUUACCCUGUAAUGUGUAGUUCCCUGUCAAAAUUCCCAUUUCUGAAAGAAUAGUGUACCUAUACAUAUUUUUAUCAAUUAAAAAUACAGAAAAUG